rnacentral:rRNA from 1 species
AUUGAACGCUAGCGGGAUGCCUUACACAUGCAAGUCGAACGGCAGCGCGGACUUCGGUCUGGCGGCGAGUGGCGAACGGGUGAGUAAUGUAUCGGAACGUGCCCAGUAGCGGGGGAUAACUACUCGAAAGAGUAGCUAAUACCGCAUACGCCCUACGGGGGAAAGGGGGGGAUCGCAAGACCUCUCACUAUUGGAGCGGCCGAUAUCGGAUUAGCUAGUUGGUGAGGUAAAGGCUCACCAAGGCGACGAUCCGUAGCUGGUUUGAGAGGACGACCAGCCACACUGGGACUGAGACACGGCCCAGACUCCUACGGGAGGCAGCAGUGGGGAAUUUUGGACAAUGGGGGAAACCCUGAUCCAGCCAUUCCGCGUGUGCGAUGAAGGCCUUCGGGUUGUAAAGCACUUUUGGCAGGAAAGAAAUCGCAUCAAUUAAUACUUGGUGUGGAUGACGGUACCUGCAGAAUAAGCACCGGCUAACUACGUGCCAGCCGCCGCCGUAA